rnacentral:rRNA from 1 species
GGCCUCGGGUUGUAAAGCUCUUUCGCAAGGGAAGAAAAUCGAUCUCUAAUAUAGGUUGAGGCUGACGGUACCUUGAUAAGAAGCACCGGCUAACUACGUGCCAGCAGCCGCGGUAAUACGUAGGGUGCGAGCGUUCAUCGGAAUUACUGGGCGUAAAGCGUGCGCAGGCGGUUUUGAAAGUCAGAUGUGAAAUCCCCGGGCUCAACCUGGGAACUGCGUUUGAAACUCCAAAGCUAGAGUAUGGGAGAGGGAGGUAGAAUUCCACGUGUAGCAGUGAAAUGCGUAGAGAUGUGGAGGAAUACCAAUGGCGAAGGCAGCCUCCUGGCCUAAUACUGACGCUCAUGCACGAAAGCGUGGGGAGCAAACAGGAUUAGAUACCCUGGUAGUCCACGCCCUAGACGAUGUCUACUAGUUGUUGGGAGAGUAAAAUCUUUUAGUAACGAAGCUAACGCGAGAAGUAGACCGCCUGAGGAGUACGGACGCCAGAUUACAACUCACCGGAAUUGACGGGGGCCC